rnacentral:rRNA from 1 species
GACGAACGCUGGCGGCACGCUUAACACAUGCAAGUCGAACGAGAACCUCGGAGCUUGCUCCGAGGGGACAGUGGCGAACGGGUGAGUAACACGUGAGGAACCUGCCCCGAAGACCGGGAUAACACCGGGAAACCGGUGCUAAUACCGGAUGCCCUCACCGGACCGCAUGAUCCGGUGAGGAAAUGGAUUCCGCUUCGGGAUGGCCUCGCGGCCUAUCAGCUUGUUGGUGGGGUAACGGCCCACCAAGGCUUCGACGGGUAGCUGGUCUGAGAGGAUGUCCAGCCACACUGGGACUGAGACACGGCCCAGACUCCUACGGGAGGCAGCAGUGGGGAAUCUUGCGCAAUGGGCGAAAGCCUGACGCAGCGAUGCCGCGUGCGGGAUGAAGGCCUUCGGGUUGUAAACCGCUUUCAGCAGGGACGAAAUUGACGGUACCUGCAGAAGAAGCCCCGGCCAACUACGUGCCAGCCGCCGCCGUAAAAC